rnacentral:rRNA from 1 species
AUUGAACGCUGGCGGCAGGCCUAACACAUGCAAGUCGAACGAGUGGCGGACGGGUGAGUAAUAUAUCGGAAGUGCCCAGUAGCGGGGGAUAACUACUCGAAAGAGUGGCUAAUACCGCAUACUAUCGGAUAACCCAUAUGGGAUUAGCUAGUAGGUGAGGUAAUGGCUCACCUAGGCGACGAUCCCUAGCUGGUCUGAGAGGAUGAUGAGCAACACGGGGACUGAGACACGGCCCCGACCCCGACGGAGGCAGCAGUGAGGAAUAUUGCACAAUGGGCGCAAGCCUGAUGCAGCCAUGCCGCGUGUAUGAAGAAGGCCCUAGGGUUGUAGAGUACUUUCAGUCGGGAGGCGUUACCGACAGAAGAAGCACCGGCUAACUCCGUGCCAGCCGCCGCGGUAAUAC